rnacentral:rRNA from 1 species
UACGAAGGGGGCUAGCGUUGUUCGGAAUCACUGGGCGUAAAGGGCGCGUAGGCGGCCGUUCAAGUCGGGGGUGAAAGCCUGUGGCUCAACCACAGAAUUGCCUCGAUACUGGACGGCUCGAGACCGGAAGAGGUCAGUGGAACUGCGAGUGUAGAGGUGAAAUUCGUAGAUAUUCGGAAGAACACCAGUGGCGAAGGCGGCUCACUGGCCCGGUACUGACGCUGAGGUGCGAAAGCGUGGGGAGCAAACAGG